rnacentral:rRNA from 1 species
CAGCAGCCGCGGGAAUACGUAGGGUGCGAGCGUUAAUCGGAUUUACUGGGCGUAAAGCGUGCGCAGGCGGCCCGUUAAGACAGGUGUGAAAUCCCUGGGCUCAACCUAGGAAUUGCGCUUGUGACUGGCGGGCUCGAGUACGGUAGAGGGGGGUGGAAUUCCUGGUGUAGCAGUGAAAUGCGUAGAGAUCAGGAGGAACACCGAUGGCGAAGGCAGCCCCCUGGGCCUGUACUGACGCUCAUGCACGAAAGCGUGGGGAGCAAACAGGAUUAGAUACCCCGGUAGUCCCUGUCUCUUAUAC